UACGGAGGUUCCAAGCGUUGUUCGGAAUUACUGGGCGUAAAGGGAGCGCAGGCGGACAGGUCAGUUUAAAGUGGAAUCCCAGGGCUCAACCCUGGACGUGCUUUGGAUACUGCCUGUCUUGAGUUCGUGAGAGGAAAGUGGAAUUCAGGGUGUAGCGGUGAAAUGCUUAGAGAUGUGGAGGAAUACCGAUGGCGAAGGCAGCCCCUCGGU
rnacentral:rRNA from 1 species